UACGAAGGGGGCUAGCGUUGCUCGGAAUUACUGGGCGUAAAGCGCACGUAGGCGGUCUUUUAAGUCAGGGGUGAAAGCCCAGAGCUCAACUCUGGAACUGCCUUUGAGACUGUGGGACUUGGGUACGGGAGAGGUGAGUGGAAUUCCGAGUGUAGAGGUGAAAUUCGUAGAUAUUCGGAAGAACACCAGUGGCGAAGGCGGCUCACUGGCCCGUUACCGACGCUCAGGCGCGACAGCGUGGGGAGCAAACAGG
rnacentral:rRNA from 1 species